rnacentral:rRNA from 1 species
CGAGCGGAGUUAGAGAAGCUUGCUUCUCUAACUUAGCGGCGGACGGGUGAGUAACACGUGGGCAAUCUGCCCGUAAGACUGGGAUAACUCCGGGAAACCGGGCGUAAUACCGGAUAAUCCUGACUCUCUCCUGAGAGUCAGUUGAAAGAUGGUUUCGGCUAUCACUUACGGAUGAGCCCGCGGCGCAUUAGCUAGUUGGUAGGGUAAUGGCCUACCAAGGCGACGAUGCGUAGCCGACCUGAGAGGGUGAUCGGCCACACUGGGACUGAGACACGGCCCAGACUCCUACGGGAGGCAGCAGUAGGGAAUCUUCCGCAAUGGACGAAAGUCUGACGGAACAACGCCGCGUGAGUGAAGAAGGUUUUCGGAUCGUAAAACUCUGUUGUUAGGGAAGAACACGUACGAGAGUAACUGCUCGUACCUUGACGGUACCUAACCAGAAAGCCACGGCUAACUACGUG